rnacentral:pre_miRNA from 1 species
CAAAUACUCCCUCCGUCCGUAAAUACUUGUCAUCAAAAUGGAUAAAAGGAAAUGUAUAUAGACGUAUUUUAGUUUUAGAUACAUCUCUUUUUAUCCAUUUUGAUGACAAGUAUUUUCGGACGGAGGGAGUAGAAA